rnacentral:lncRNA from 1 species
GGUGGGUGUGCUGAGCAGGAUGGGUGUGAGGAGCAGGGUGGGUGUCAGGAGCAGGAUGGGUGUGCGGCCCGGCAGCCCUCGGCGGCAGCUGUCGAGGGAAAAAUCCCACGGUGGGCGCUCUUGCAAGAGCGGCAAUGAGAAUGCGAGUCUUUGGAAGGUCCAGUUUUGUCGGAGCAAAAUGAAGGCACCAGCACAUAUUUACAAAGAUGUAGAAGUUCUGGCUCCGUUUGUUGCUCAUCUGUUUCCACAGCGUCGGGAUUCCCUGGGAAGCCCCUCUGUCCCUUGGCUUCUGAGCCCCAGUGUCCUCCCAGAGGAAGGAGCAUUUUGCUUUCAGAGGAGAAGAGCCAUCACAGCAGGCUCCACAUUCCCUGAUGCUUCUCCGGGUGAAGGAAUUUGCUUGAGAGCCACAUCUGUCCCCUGCCAUGAGCUAGCCAAGAUGCUGUCUCCUGAGGGCCAGCACCAUAUCAAGGGAGAAGCCCCCUCCUAAUUCAAAAAAGGAGAGAUGCCAGCCCAUCCUUCUUCAGGAGCCCACAGACUUCCUUGGCCCCUGGAGCAGUGAAAGGUGGGGACAUUCAGAAUGCACCAUAAGAUGCUUCUGGUUUUUAGAGUCCCUGGAAGGGUUCAGAUGUACUAGACUCUGAGGAUCUCUGGGGACAGUGGGAUAUUUUUGUCUGUCACUUGACUGAUGUUUGCUGUCAUGUAGAGAGAGUUUGUUAUUCUUUCCUGUAUGGCUUAUAUUCUUUCAGGAACAGCAAGAAUUCUGAGUCUGGGAUAGGUGCUUUUCCUGCAUUCACAUAGGAAUAACAGUAAUAAUAACAAUAAUAAUAGUACAUUAGUAACUUUAGAGAAAUACUCUGUGUUUCACCAGAAUGCCUCAUCUUCUUCAGCGUAGCUGCUCCAUUUUGAAAAGACAGUCUUGUGUCAGCCUUUAUGAAACAGGAAAAACUAGAUUAUGCAACUGGUGUUAUAGACCAGCAGUUUGCCUAUUGUGAACUUGUGUAGCCCUUGAAAACAGUAGUUUUUGGCUCAAAAUCAGCACAUAGCUUAGACAUAUGCUUAACUUUAAGCAUUAGAAUAGUCAUAUUGAAAUCAGGGGGAGUGUUCACAUGUUUACAGUUAAAUCUCAGUCCAAAUGCUUUGCUGAAUUUUGUCCUAUUGGGGACUCAGAAUGCUAAUACAGUUUUCAGAGCCUGACCCUGCAGAGUAUUAAAUACAGCUGAGAUCUCUAAUUGCCACUGAAGUUAAUGGAAUUGAGGGCACUUGGCAUUCCUUGGGCACGUGCAGCCCAACACAGAACCAAGCCCAACUGCAGCCACCAAGCUUGAGCUUCCUGAAAUCCAAGCGUGAUACUCCUUGAUUGCAGGUCAGAUACGACCUGCCAAACAUGGAGAGCACUGUCAUAAAGAAGAUGUUUCACCAGGAGUUUUUGGAAUCCAGAGGAUCCAAGGUUACACACAUGACAAAAAUACAGCAUAGGACUGUAAGAAAUUAAAAGAAGGUGCAGGGGUGACUUUGGAGGGUCUCUGCAAUGCAGUGUUUUUUUUGUCCAUGUUCAUUAAUUAUGACCAGAAUGUGAUACUUCAGAGUCAUUUAGAAGCACUGCUUCCUGACUUGCCUUGGUAUUUGUUAAUUCGCCAAUUUCUUGUAGUUGUUGAAGCAAAGUUUUGAUAUGAGAUUUGGAAAAAGAGAACAGACCUGGCUGAAAGGACUUUUUUUGUAGAUUUUAUUUUUAUGUUUAUGUUUUUAUUGGCUUCCAUGUCAUAUUAUUUUUAUAUUUCUUAUUGGAAAUCACAAUUCUGAUGAAGAAAAGCUCCAAAAUUUUUCAAACCACAAACUCAACCACGUACUUAAUGCUUUUAAAACACUCUGCAGAGCAGUCCAUCAAUUUUUGGCAAUAAAAAAUUAUGUUGAACAUUUUAAAUAUUGGUA